AGAGUUUGAUCCUGGCUCAGGAUGAACGCUAGCUACAGGCUUAACACAUGCAAGUCGAGGGGCAGCAUGGUCUUAGCUUGCUAAGACUGAUGGCGACCGGCGCACGGGUGAGUAACACGUAUCCAACCUGCCGUCUACUCUUGGACAGCCUUCUGAAAGGAAGAUUAAUACAAGAUGGCAUCAUGAGUCCGCAUGUUCACAUGAUUAAAGGUAUUCCGGUAGACGAUGGGGAUGCGUUCCAUUAGAUAGUAGGCGGGGUAACGGCCCACCUAGUCUUCGAUGGAUAGGGGUUCUGAGAGGAAGAUCCCCCACAUUGGAACUGAGACACGGUCCAAACUCCUACGGGAGGCAGCAGUGAGGAAUAUUGGUCAAUGGGCGAGAGCCUGAACCAGCCAAGUAGCGUGAAGGAUGACUGCCCUAUGGGUUGUAAACUUCUUUUAUAAAGGAAUAAAGUCGGGUAUGCAUACCCGUUUGCAUGUACUUUAUGAAUAAGGAUCGGCUAACUCCGUGCCAGCAGCCGCGGUAAUACGGAGGAUCCGAGCGUUAUCCGGAUUUAUUGGGUUUAAAGGGAGCGUAGAUGGAUGUUUAAGUCAGUUGUGAAAGUUUGCGGCUCAACCGUAAAAUUGCAGUUGAUACUGGAUAUCUUGAGUGCAGUUGAGGCAGGCGGAAUUCGUGGUGUAGCGGUGAAAUGCUUAGAUAUCACGAAGAACUCCGAUUGCGAAGGCAGCCUGCUAAGCUGCAACUGACAUUGAGGCUCGAAAGUGUGGGUAUCAAACAGGAUUAGAUACCCUGGUAGUCCACACGGUAAACGAUGAAUACUCGCUGUUUGCGAUAUACGGCAAGCGGCCAAGCGAAAGCGUUAAGUAUUCCACCUGGGGAGUACGCCGGCAACGGUGAAACUCAAAGGAAU
rnacentral:rRNA from 1 species